AUUGAAUCUAUCAAUAACAACUCGUGAACCAAAAACUGUCCGGAGAGUGCGUGCUCGGCAACGACGCGCCUUUCCCUCCGUUAAUCACACUCUUAACCAAAUACCAUUUGUGAAGCUGCCUCGUGCAGCGCCACAUCUAUAACAAUAGACAACUCUCAACAACGGAUAUCUUGGCUCUCGCAACGAUAAAGAACGCAGCGAAAUGCGAUACGUAGUGUGAAUUGCAGAAUUCCGUGAACCAUCGAAUCUUUGAACGCAUAUUGCGCUCGAGGCUUCGGCCAAGAGCAUGUCUGCCUCAGCGUCGGCAUACCCCAUCACCCCCUAAUCCGUUUCACGGAAUAGCUCGGGUGGAUCUGGCAGUCUCAGCUAUCGGACUAAUACUCCACGGCUGGGUCUGCUGAAGAACAGAGGCUUGAGCAUGGACCCGUUUACGGCAACAACUGGGUGGGCAGCUCGUCUGCAACUAGUUGGUGCUUGGGACCGUGCUGGGGGCCCGCAGGAAACAACGGCUUGCCGUUGACCUUCACAUUCGACCUGAGCUCAGGCAAGAUUACCCGCUGAACUUAAGCAUA
rnacentral:rRNA from 1 species